CGCACAUUGCGCUCCCUGGUAUUCCUAGGAGCAUGUCUGUCUGAGCGUCAGUACACACCCUCCGCCGCCUCUUUGCUGAGGUGGCGGGUCCUGAGGAGGGGAAGGGCGAGAGCCCACUCCCCCCUCUAAAGUGGAACGACAGCGGUCCGCCUGCCCGUGAAAGACGUAGUAAGAUAUCAUCAGAAUCGUCCGCGAAGGGGAAAGGUAGAGGCUUGCCUUGCGCACAUCAAUCUGAAGGUUUGACCUCAGAUCAGACAAGAAUACCCGCUGAACUUAA
rnacentral:misc_RNA from 1 species